rnacentral:rRNA from 1 species
UUUUUUGAGAGUUUGAUCCUAGCUCAGGAUGAACGCUGGCGGCGUGCCUUAGGUAUGCAAGUCGAGCGGUCCGACGGAUCCCGCAAGGGGCUCGUCGGACAGCGGCAGACGGGUGAGUAAUAGACAGGAACGUACCCUGAAGAGGGGGACAGCCCCGCGAAAGCGGGGGUAAUACCCCAUAUCCUUAUUCACAGGACAAGGAGUUUAAUAAAGUUCAUAAAGUUCUUAAAGUUAUAAAGUCCAUAAAGUAUCUGCGAAAAGUCGCACUUUAUAAACUUUACAAACUUUCCACUUUACAAACUUUUAUUCUUCUCGUUCUGCGGGUAAGGAAAGAGCGUAACUGCUCGCUUCAGAAUCGGCCUGUUGCCUAUCAGCUAGUUGGUGGGGUAACGGCCUACCAAGGCUAAGACGGGUAGGGGCGCUGAGAGGCUGGACCCCCACAAUGGCACUGAGACACGGGCCAUACACCUACGGGUGGCAGCAACCGGGAAUCGUGCGCAAUGGACGAAAGUCUGACGCCGCGACGCCGCGUGCGGGAUGAAGGCCCUCGGGUCGUAAACCGCUCAAUUCCGAUGGACACAUCGGGAGGAUUAAGCCCCUGCUAACUACGUGCCAGAAGCAUCGGUAAAGCGUAGGGGGCUAGCGUUAUCCGGAUUUAUUGGGCGUAAAGGGUAUGUAGGCGGUUCAUAAAGUUUUCGGUUAAAUCCCGGGGCUUAACCCCGGAACGGCCGGGAAAACUAAUGAGCUUGAGGCUGGAAGAGAGAACUGGAAUUUUCGGUGGAGCAGUGAAAUGCGUUGAUAUCGAAAAGAACACCAAGGGCGAAGGCAGGUUCUUAGGCCAGUCCUGACGCUGAAAUACGAAAGCUUGGGGAGCGAAGCAGAUUAGAGACCUGCGUAGUCCAAGCUGUAAACUAUGGGCGCUAGAUUCCCGACGUUUCGUCGGGAGUCGAAGCUAACGCGUUAAGCGCCCCGCCUGGGGAGUACGGCCGCAAGGCUAAAACUCAAAGGAAUUGACGGGGACUCGCACAAGUGGUGGAGCAUGUGGUUUAAUUCGACACAAAGCGAAAAACCUCACCAGGGUUCGACAUGUAUCUGCAAAUCCCGUGAAAGCGGGACUCCUUCGAGGGUGAUACAAAGCUGCUGCAUGGCUGUCGUCAGUUUGUGCCGUGAGGUGCAGGAUUAAGUUCCGCAACAAACGCAACCCCCUCUCAAUGUUACAAGUGUCAUUGAGGACUAACCGAGCUCAGCUCGGGGGGAAGGAGGGGAAGACGUCAAGUCAGCACGGCGCUUAUGCUCUGGGCAACACACAUCCUACAAUGGCGAAUAACAACGCGUAGCCACUCGGCAACGGGGAGCUAACCGCGGAAAUUUCGCCUCAGUUCAGAUUGAGGGCUGCAACUCGCCCUCAUGAAGUCGGAAUCACUAGUAAUCGCGGAUCAUCAGGCCGCGGUGAAUACGUUCUCGAGUCUUGUACACACCGCCCGUCAUGCCAGCAAAGUCGGGGGUAGCCGAAUCCCGCCAUUGGCGGGAGAAGCUAAACUCGGCGAUGAGGGUAAAGUCGUAACAAGGUAUCCCUAGCCGAAGCUGGGGAUGGAUCACCUCCUUU